rnacentral:tRNA from 1 species
UUGAUUGUGGCGAAAUUGGCUAACGCAAUAAGUUUAGGUCUUAUCUAUAUAUAGGUUCAAAUCCUAUCAAUCAAU